rnacentral:rRNA from 1 species
ACUCAAAGGAAUAGACGGGGACCCGCACAAGCAGUGGAGUAUGUGGUUUAAUUCGAUGCUAAGCGAAAAACCUUACCGAGGCUUGACAUCCCAGGAAUUCCGCCGAAAGGUGGAAGUGCCUUCGGGAACCUGGUGACAGGUGCUGCAUGGCCGUCGUCAGCUCGUGUCGUGAGAUGUUGGGUUAAGUCCCGCAACGAGCGCAACCCUUGUCGUGUGUUACACUUUCACACGAGACUGCCCGGGUAACUGGGAGGAAGGUGAGGAUGACGUCUGGUCAGCAUGGCCCUUACGCCUCGGGCUACACACGUACUACAAUGGCCGUUACAAUGGGCCUGCCAAGCCGUAAGGUGGAGCGAAUCCCAUCAAAAGCGGUCUCAGUUCGGAUUGAGGGCUGAAACUCGCCCUCAUGAAGUCGGAAUUGCUAGUAAUGGCGGAUCAGCAUGCCGCCGUGAAUACGUUCCCGGGUCUUGUACACACCGCCCGU